UACGAAGGGUGCAAACGUUGCUCGGAAUUAUUGGGCGUAAAGCGCACGUAGGCGGCUCUACAAGUCGGAUGUGAAAUCCCUCGGCUUAACCAAGGAAGUGCAUCCGAAACUGCAGAGCUUGAGUACCAAAGAGGAUCGCGGAAUUCCCGGUGUAGAGGUGAAAUUCGUAGAUAUCGGGAGGAACACCAGUGGCGAAGGCGGCGAUCUGGGUGGAUACUGACGCUGAGGUGCGAAAGCGUGGGGAGCGAACAGG
rnacentral:rRNA from 1 species